GACGAACGCUGGCGGCGUGCCUAACACAUGCAAGUCGAGCGGGAACCUCAGGAGGGGUAACCCUCCUGAGGGGAGAGCGGCGAACGGGUGAGUAACACGUGGGCAACCUGCCCCGGACACCGGGAUAACCCAGGGAAACCUGAGCUAAUACCGGAUACUCCGGCGAGAUCGCAUGGUCGCGCCGGGACAGCUCCGACGGUCCGGGAUGGGCCCGCGGCCUAUCAGCUUGUUGGUGGGGUAACGGCCCACCAAGGCGACGACGGGUAGCUGGUCUGAGAGGACGGCCAGCCACACUGGGACUGAGACACGGCCCAGACUCCUACGGGAGGCAGCAGUGGGGAAUAUUGGACAAUGGGCGGAAGCCUGAUCCAGCAACGCCGCGUGAGGGAUGACGGCCUUCGGGUUGUAGACCUCUUUCAGCACCGACGAAGCGAGAGUGACGGUAGGUGCAGAAGAAGGACCGGCCAACUACGUGCCAGCCGCCGCAGUAAAAC
rnacentral:rRNA from 1 species